rnacentral:rRNA from 1 species
AUUGAACGCUGGCGGAAUGCUUUACACAUGCCAGUCGAACGAUGAACCUUAGCUUGCUAAGGGGAUUAGUGGCGAACGGGUGAGUAAUAUAUCGGAACGUGCCUUGUAAUGGGGGAUAACUAGUCGAAAGAUUAGCUAAUACCGCAUACGCCCUGAGGGGGAAAGUAGGGGAUCUUCGGACCUUACGUUAUAAGAGCGGCCGAUAUCUGAUUAGCUAGUUGGUGGGGUAAUGGCCUACCAAGGCGACGAUCAGUAGCUGGUCUGAGAGGACGACCAGCCACACUGGAACUGAGACACGGUCCAGACUCCUACGGGAGGCAGCAGUGGGGAAUUUUGGACAAUGGGCGCAAGCCUGAUCCAGCCAUUCCGCGUGAGUGAAGAAGGCCUUCGGGUUGUAAAGCUCUUUCGCAAGGGAAGAAAACGUACCAUCGAAUAAAUGGUGAGGCUGACGGUACCUUGAUAAGAAGCACCGGCUAACUACGUG